rnacentral:rRNA from 1 species
UGGGCGAAAGCCUGAUCCAGCCAUGCCGCGUGUGUGAAGAAGGUCUUCGGAUUGUAAAGCACUUUAAGUUGGGAGGAAGGGCAGUAAGUUAAUACCUUGCUGUUUUGACGUUACCAACAGAAUAAG